GACGAACCGUACAAACGUUAUUCGGAAUCACUGGGCUUAAAGGGUGCGUAGGCGGCGACGCAAGUUGGGUGUGAAAUCCCUCGGCUCAACCGAGGAACUGCGCCCAAAACUGCGUUGCUCGAGGGAGAUAGAGGCGAGUGGAACUUAGGGUGGAGCGGUGAAAUGCGUUGAUAUCCUAAGGAACACCAGUGGCGAAAGCGACUCACUGGGUCUCUUCUGACGCUGAGGCACGAAAGCUAGGGGAGCGAACGGG
rnacentral:rRNA from 1 species